UAUCUAACCGAUUAAACUUGGCAACACAAAUGUUGCAGAGAUACUCUGAAAGAGAUAGAAGGAGUUCUUGCAUAUACAUUUUUUUAAAUUUCUAUACCU